CGCGUGGCGUCCGAGCGCCCCCUCACCGCUCCGGGUGCCCACCUCCUGAGGCGCUCUCUCCUGAGGCCCGGCUGCGCCUGGUUGGUCGUAGCAUCCGCCGCGGCCAGGCUGCGAGCGACACCGGGGAAAUGUGGAGCUAAUGGACGUUUCUAGGGCCACUCACAAUUCUGCCUAAAUUGUAAAAGGUUCCUCCUGAGACGCACCGUGUCAGCCUCUUUCCGAAAGCACGAGAACUUAACGCCGGCAGAAAUCCUUUAAAUGUACUGAUUUCCUGCAUUCUUAAAGAAUACAGUGGUUAAUGAAAUCCUUUGUUGACGACUGACCAUCAAAUGGAUACCUUGGCGGUACGCUCAAGUCCCAGGGGCUUGCUGAGGGAAUAUUGUCCCUGAGCUAACAUCUGUGCCAAUCUUCCUCUAUUUUGUAUGUGGGACACUGCCACAGCAUGGCCUGAUGAGCGGUGUGUAUGCCCACGCCUGGCAUCCGAACCUGUGAACCCUGGGCUGCCAAAACGGAGUGCACAAACUUAACCACUACGCCACUGGGCCAGCCCCACCUAAUGCAUUUUUAUCAAACUGGGUUUUUAUGUCUCUUCAAGUUCAUGGGAAUCCCAACUGUCCUCCAGGGUGAAGAUGUGCAGAAAACAAAACAAAACAAAAUACCUCAACAUAGGUAGUCUUAAAAUCGUGCUUGGGGAACUACUUCUUCCUUUACUUGGAUGUUUUCUUUUAGCAGCUUCAAUAACACGUUAAAAAUUUCUCCAUUAAGUUCUUACAGAUUUGUAAAGUUCUUAGAUUUAUUCCUAAGUUUCUUUUUCUUUGGUAUUGUAGCUUGUCUCUAUUUUUAAAUUAUGUUUUCUAGUUUGCUAGGAAUUUUUUUUAAUGAAUGGGUCAUGGAUUUUAUCAAAUGCCUUUACUGAAUCUGUUAAAAUGAUCACAUAUGUGCUCUUCU